CGGGUGAGUAACACGUGAGAAUCUGCCUUUAGGAAGAGGAUAACAUUUAGAAAUAUUUGCUAAUACUCUAUAUGCUUUACAGUGAAAGAAUUUAUUCGCCUAAAGAGGAGCUCGCGUCUGAUUAGCUAGUUGGUAGGGUAAAGGCCUACCAAGGCGACGAUCAGUAGUUGGUCUGAGAGGACGGCCAGCCACAUUGGAACUGAGACACGGUCCAGACUCUUACGGGAGGCAGCAGUGAGGAAUUUUCUGCAAUGGGCGCAAGCCUGACAGAGCAAUACCGCGUGAGGGAUGACUGCCUACGGGUUGUAAACCUCUUUUCUCAAGGAGGAAGAUCUGACGUUACUUGAGGAAUAAGCAUCGGCUAACCCUGUGCCAGCAGCCGCGGUAAUACAGGGGAUGCAAGUGUUAUCCGGAAUUAUUGGGCGUAAAGCGUCUGCAGGUUGAUCUACAAGUCUUUUGUUAAAUUUUCAGGCUUAACCUGAAGUCAGCAAAAGAAACUGUUUAUCUUGAGUAUGGUAGAGGUAAGGGGAAUUUCCAGUGGAGCGGUGAAAUGCGUAGAUAUUGGAAAGAACACCAACAGCGAAGGCACCUUACUGGGCCAUUACUGACACUCAGAGACGAAAGCUAGGGUAGCAAACGGGAUUAGAUACCCCGGUAGUCCUAGCCGUAAACGAUGGAUACUAGAUGUUGUGUACUUUAAUAGUAUGCAGUGU
rnacentral:rRNA from 1 species